AAAAUUUGUCUCCCUUAUCUUGCUUUUUUGAUCAGAAAAUUCCCACCACCAAAACCAUAUUGAUUUUUUGAUCAGAAAAUUCAAUCCCCCAAAACCAUAUCGAUUUCGUUACCUCAAUUAACCUAAUCAUUACAUACACAAUUCCCAUAUCUAUACAUCUUUAUUUAUACUCUAUAUCUAUAUCUACUUUAAUUUCGGCCCCUUUUUUUUAGGGAUUAACCAGAUUCCGGCCACUAACGCCAACCAUUCCGGCCAAACACAUAUAUAGUUGUACACAAAUCAAAUACAACCACCACCUCCUCCAUUCUCGACGCCAACUUUCAGGCCACUGCCGCCAACACCAUUCCGGCCACCAUUACCCCUUUAUAAAUCGAACACACUCACUGAUGAGUCAUUUCCAAAACCCAGUCAGAAGAAACGAAAAAAGAAAAAGAAAAACGGAACCAACCAGCACCCAGCCCAGCCGGAAACAACCCACCUUUCAUCACAACCGCCGCUGCCCACCUCCGCCCACAACCUCGAAACACCCAGAUAUGAAUAUUGAAUUUACUUAUGGAACUUGUUUAGCAGCUCAAGUUGAUUACAUUCAAGACAAUUUAAGAGCUUUAGAGAUUGAUGGAAAGAUGAUCGGUUGUCAAAAACUCAAAAAUCUUGAAACUUCCAAAUGGGUUUUUGCCAACAUCGAGCACGACGGAGGUUGUUGUUGUUGUCGAGCAAGACGGUGGUGUGUACAUCGGUGAACGACGGUCACCACCAUUCUGGCCACCACCAUCAUGCGAAUCUCGGUUGUUUGUUCUUUCUUGAUUUCUGGUUUUUGAAAUUUGAUUAGAUGAACUUUAGAAGUGUGUUUGAUUUUAUAUGUUUAGAUUGUUUUUAAUUGUAGGUGAUGAAUAGGUUUUUAGAUGAUGCAUGGAUCUAGUUUUAAUCGUUUUCAUUAGGUUGAUUGUAAUUUGUUAAAAUUUUGUACAAACGUGACUAUAUUAUGGAAAAGGGAUGAUUAAUUA